AAUAUAAUUGCUGGGCUAUAUGGUAGUUAUGUGUUUAGCUUUUUUAGGAAACUGCCAAGCUGUUUUCCAGAAUGGCUGUACCAUUUUACAUUCCCACCAGCAAU
rnacentral:pre_miRNA from 1 species